CAAUAGCGUAUAUUAAAGUUGUUGCAGUUAGAACGCUCGUAGUCGGAUUUCGGGGCGGGCCGACCGGUCUGCCGAUGGGUAUGCACUGGUCGGCGCGUCCUUCCUUCCGGAGACCGUCCCUACUCUUAACUGAGCGGGGGCGGGAGACGGGACUUUUACUUUGAAAAAAUCAGAGUGUUUCAAGCAGGCAGCUCGCUCUUGCAUGGAUUAGCAUGGGAUAAUGAAAUAGGACUUUGGUGCUAUUUUGUUGGUUUCGAACACCGAAGUAAUGAUGAGAAGGGACAGUCAGGGGCACUCGUAUUCCGCCGAGAGAGGUGAAAUUCUCAGACCAGCGGAAGACGAACCACUGCGAANGNAUUUGGNAGGGAUGUUUNCACUG
rnacentral:rRNA from 1 species